GAUGAACGCUAGCUACAGGCUUAACACAUGCAAGUCGCGAGGUCUGUUUCGGCAGACGACCGGCGCACGGGUGAGUAACGCGUAUCCAACCUGCCCCUCUCUUUGGCAUAGCCUUUCGAAAGAGAGAUUAAUACCCGAUGGCAUGUAUUUCCGGCAUCGGAGAUACAUUAAAGAUUUAUCGGUAACGGAUGAGGAUGCGUACGAUUAGCUGGUUGGCGGGGUAACGGCCCACCAAGGCUACGAUCGUUAGGGGUUCUGAGAGGAAGGUCCCCCACACUGGAACUGAGACACGGUCCAGACUCCUACGGGAGGCAGCAGUGAGGAAUAUUGGUCAAUGGUCGAGAGACUGAACCAGCCAAGUAGCGUGAAGGAUGACUGCCCUACGGGUUGUAAACUUCUUUUGUUUGGGAAUAAAUGAUACUACGUGUAGUAUUUUGCAUGUACCUUACGAAUAAGCAUCGGCUAAUUCCGUG
rnacentral:rRNA from 1 species